UCUUGUUUCAUAUGUAGAAAUUGAAAAACGAAAAAAAAAAGUCUUUCUACCAUGGGUGAGUUAUUUUGAUAAUUCAAUCACUUCUUGGUUACUUUAAUCAAUUUUCAGUACAAGUUUUUCAAAAGCUCAUUUUCAAUUUCCAUAAAAAC
ensembl:ncRNA T19C4.15 ncRNA